CUUGCUGUUCCCUGAGUGACCAGAGCAGGGGUUGCUCCAGGCUAAUGAGAACACCUGACUCCAAUUAACCUGCUAAGAGUCAGAUGAGGCUGUUAAGCGUGUGACUCUAAUUAAGCAGUCGGUGUUUGGAAUCCCUCAUCUGUAGUGGCUUCAGUUUUGUUCAGAGGCUGUGAAUUUCCUCGUUGAACACGGUGCUCUGUGGGAUUCAGAUGAGGGAGAGGUACAAGUCUCCUGUGCACAGUUAGUAUUUUGGAUGUAGGUGCAGUGGGCUGCUUUUUAGUUGUAGUGCUAAAGCUGUAAUUGGAGGAGGGUUGAGAAUGGAGCCCUGAGGUGCGGUAGAUGCGAGAAGAAGAAACUAUGCAUGUUGCUGACUGAGAUGGUAACUGAUUUGUUUUCCCCCCUUGGUACUAAACCCAGCACAAGGGAAAAGAAGUGGAGGGUCAGAGUCUGCUCCCCUCAUGCAAUGGAAAGCAAGUAAGAGCAGAGAGACAGCGAACGUUACUGAUGCCAGGCAAGAGCCGUCCAGCUUGGAGCCGAGGAGCCAUCACCGUCAGUGAGAGAAGUGUCUUGUUAGCUGCGCUGGUACAGGAAUUGUCCAGGAACCCUACCCGGAGGAGAGACUCUCAGAAGUGAACCUGAUCAGCCUGAACAUCCUUCUAAGCAGACAUGAACAGUCCUCAGCUUUCUGCCUCCUGCAUAAAUGGCUGAAAAGAAGUCAUGUGCCAGUCUACUACCCUUAUGUGAUGGAAAGCGAGCGAGAGCGAUGAGACCAUGAGCAUGGUUGAUGCCACGCAAAAGCCGUCCAUCUGUCAGCAGAAGAGCCAUCACUGUCAGUGAGAUAAGUAUCUGUUUUGGUGAGGGCUCUGCUCAUGGCCCACGUUGAUGGCUGGUAGGGAUGCCCCGUUAGCUAGGGCUGGGUUUGUAAGAAAAGGUUCCUGACUAGCUGUGGUUGUAAGAGACACAAGGUUCCCAAUUUCAGGGGCUGAUGAUUCCUCUGGUCAGGAGCAGUGUGUCCUACGCAGCAGAAAGUAGCAUCUAGAGGAUGAUUCCAGGUGUCGAGUUAUUUGCCUUCCUCCCAUGUUUCUCUGUCUUCUCUAUUGUGUUGGCCAACACUCUUGCUCUUUCAUUCUCCCUUCCUUGCCUUUCCUGGUGCCGUCUCCCUACGUAGGACGCGGGAAAAGGGUGCUAGGUGUGCAUCCACACAGUCUGUCUUUGGGACCCAUGAAGACUUAUGCAUGAUUUUCAUACCCUCCUAUUAGUGGGUGCCACAGUGGAGCAGUGUCUGUCAGUGUUGACUUGGUCUUUAAUCAUCGCCUGGGGCUGAUGUAGACCAAAUGAGAGAGGGAGGCAGAGAUUAGGGCAAGAUUUCACAUACCUUCAGAGCUUUGUGUAAUGCUGACUCACCCUUGGCUUUUGCAACUGCACUGCAGAGGAAUUGUCCAGGAGCGCUGUCUGGAGGAGAGACUCUCAAAAGCGGACCUGAACAUCCUUCUAAGCAGACGUGAACAGUCCUUAGCUUUCUGCCUCCUGCAUAACUGGCUUACCAAGGGAAAAGAAGUCACGUAUCAGUCUACUGUCAUCAUGCGAAGGAAAGCGAGACCGACGAGACCGCGAUCAUUGUCGAAAUCAGGCAUUAGCUUUACAUCUGGGAGCGGAGCAGUCACCGCUGUCAGUGAGAUAAAUGUCUGGUUUGGUGAGGGAUCUGCUCAUGACGCACCUGGCUCCAGUGUGUCCUCUGCAGGAGAAGGUUGGAUCCAGGGGGGAUGAAUCCAGCUGUUUGCAGAGGAAUCAUCCAGGAGCUCUCGCCGGACGAGAAUAUGCAGAAAUGGACCUGAGCAGCCUGGACAUCCUUUUAAGGAGACAUGAAUAUUCCUCAUCUUUCUGCCUUUUGCAUAGCUGCCUUACCAAGGAAAAAGAAGUCACGGUCAGAGUCUACUGUCCUCAUGCGAUGGAAAGUGAGCGAGAGUGACGAGACCACGAGCAUUGUCGAAAUCAAGCAUUAGGCAUGCAUCUGGGAGCGGAGCAGCUACUGCUGUCAGUGAGAUAAGUGUCUGUUCUGGUGAGAGCUCUGCUCACGGCCCAUCUGGCUCCAGGUAGGGACGUCUUGUUAGUUGGGCCUGGGUUUGUAACAAAAUGUUCAUGACUAGCUGUGGUUAUGAGGGAGACUGGGUCCCCAUUUUCAGGGUCUGCUCAUUUCUCUGCUGACAAGCGCUGUGUCCUCUGCAGAAAAGGUAGGUUCCAGGUGGCGAGUUGCUUGCCUUCCUCCCGUGUUUCUCUCUCUCUUCUCUAGUGUUGGCCAACACACUCUGUCAGUCUGUCCUUGCCUCUUUUUCUGCUGUUUACUUCAUUGCACACAGGCAGGUGAGUUAGCUGUGUAUCCCCAGAGGCCAGGUCUCGGGAAGCAUGGCGAAGUAGGAGAGGACGAAAAUAAUGCGGGGAAGUGGGUGUGAGAGUGGAGGCAGGUACUGGAAGGUCUUGUGCACCUGUAGUGUUUUUGGCAGUGAUGGCUCUUCCAUAGGUGGUUUGCUGUUCUUGCAGAGGGCAGCGGAGCAUCUGCAGGAAGCGGACCUGCACAAUCUAGCUGUUUCGCUUUGCAGUGGAGCCGAGGAGCGCUCUUGUAAUGUUGGAGGAGCAGUCGUACUGAGAUUGGUCAGAUGAGAGAUCGGCCAACCUGUGGCAGAGACCAAGGAAGGAACAGCCACCCGGAGCCCAUCCCUAGGGAUGGAAGCCGGACAAUGAUCUGCAGAUACCACGGAGAAAGAAGUGAAGGGUAAGAGCCCAUCCCCGUUGUGAGAUGGAAAGCACCAAGAACCGGGAGACCACAAGUGUUGUCGAUACCAGCCUAUGGCGAUGCCGUCGAUCUGGGAGUGGAGCAGCCGUCACCACCAGUGAGAUAAGUGUCUGGUUUGGGGAGGACUCAGGUAACGGCCCACCUGCCUCCAGGCUGAGACUUGUCAUUAGCUGGGGCUCGGUUUGUAGGAAAAGAUUCCUGACCUGCUGUGGUUACGAGGGAGACAAGGUCCCCAUUUUCAGGGGCUGGUCUUUUCUCUAUCCACAGUGUGUCCUACGCAGCAGAAGGUUAGAUCGAGGAGGAUGAC